AGACACCCCUGGACCAACAGAUGGAAAACCAUUAGGGAUGGUGUUGACCAUCUGUGGGGAUUUAGGGAAAACCCACAGUGAGCAGAGCUGUUAGGGACAAUGGCACAGACAUUCUCUGGGAAUCUGAAAAGCUGUGAACUUGCUGUCUCUAUUAAGAAGUGCGUUUGGCUGGCUCCACAUGUCAAACUUUGGUACAUUCUAAGCAGAAGAAGGGUGCAGAGCAUCGGGGGUCUGCCUGGGGAAUUGUUCUUAUGUGCUUCUGACUUCUCUUUUCAGAAAGGAAAUGUUGGUAAAAAUGACAUAAGAAACAACUCACAGUGAAA
rnacentral:lncRNA from 1 species